rnacentral:lncRNA from 1 species
UCUCUCUGCAGGUUACACCACCCCCAACCUGGACCCCAUCCAAUAGGCUCGUGGUCCCUGAUGGUCCUGGACCACUGAUUUGAGGCCUUUCUGCUUCCUUUGAUUCAGUCUUUGGCAGAGACCCAGGAGCAGGAGUCCUUGAUGGCACCUGGCCCUUUCUAGUCACCGACAAGGGAAACCUGAGAAACCAUUCUCAGAAAUGGAACUAAAUUGACACAGCAUUUGUCUCCUCCAGAGGAUACAGCACCAAGGCGCCAUCUUGGAAGUAGACUGGAGCUCUUAGCAGACCAGAACCUGUGGGGUUUCACACCUGAGCAGCAUCGAAGGGGCCACUGAAGUGGAGCAGAGGAAUCGUUUGAGGAGAAUCUCAAAGAGGACUCACCUGCUUUUGUAGAAUUUAUGCCACGAGAUUAAAUGCUCAGAUGAUAAUAUUUCACAAGUUACAUGUUUGCUUAUGGAAUAUUUUUCUCCUAGUGAAAAUAUGAUU